rnacentral:rRNA from 1 species
AUUGAACGCUGGCGGCAGGCCUAACACAUGCAAGUCGAGCGGGGUUUUCGGACCUAGCGGCGGACGGGUGAGUAAUGCGUAGGAAGCUGCCCGAUAGAGGGGGAUACCAGUUGGAAACGACUGUUAAUACCGCAUAAUGUCUACGGACCAAAGUGUGGGACCUUCGGGCCACAUGCUAUCGGAUGCGCCUACGUGGGAUUAGCUAGUUGGUGAGGUAAUGGCUCACCAAGGCGACGAUCUCUAGCUGGUUUGAGAGGAUGAUCAGCCACACUGGAACUGGGAAACGGUCCAGACUCCUACGGGAGGCAGCAGUGGGGAAUAUUGGACAAUGGGCGCAAGCCUGAUCCAGCCAUGCCGCGUGUGUGAAGAAGGCCUUCGGGUUGUAAAGCACUUUCAGCGAGGAGGAAGGGGUGUGUGUUAAUAGUACACACCUUUGACGUUACUCGCAGAAGAAGCACCGGCUAACUCUGUGCCAGCAGCCGCGGUAACAC